AAAGUUUACGUUUCUAUCCUGAAAACGACCCCUCUCCAUUCGAGUACAUAAAUGAAAGUCUAAAAUCAUGAAAAUUAAAGUUUAAAGAAAAAACAUAACAAGAUAUGAGAAAGACAAUGUUUGGUCAAGUACUAAUUGUGCUUCUUCUUCUCGGCACCCACCUUUGCCGUAUCGAGUCAGCUAUUCCUUCUGGUCAACAACCAUUCCUUCAAACAGGGAGGAGAAUGAUGACUUAUCAUAUGCUGAUUGAGGGACCAGUAAGACCAUCGCAAAGCCAACAAGGUGGUGGAAAAUUUUCUAAUGAUGAUCCUUCCAAUCCCACCGAUUAGUUUUUCGGUUUCUAUUCAAUUUCCGAUUUCAUGAAAUCUUGAAUUUUUACUUUCUGUUGCUUUUGCUUCAACUCACCGUAAUCUAUAUCUUGUAGUUUACGUGAUAUUUCCGUUGUUUCUAGUAACAAAAUUUCUGUUAUCGCCUCAUCAUGUUCAAUCUACGAACGCAUAGUUCUUUCCAUAACAUUUCUGUAUACAUGUACUCUUGUACCAAGUAGAUCAUAUCUUCUCUUUCACGGUGGAAGUUCCACCAGAUCAGCAUCUCUUGAUUCGUAA